GCAGCUGGUGGGAAGGGCCUCGGAAUCGAGCAGACGGCGCCUGCGCUGCAGAUAUUGGCCGAAGCCGCCGAGUGUGUUUGGUGGUUAUUCUGUGUCUCGGUGCAAUGGAGCUUAGUUUUGCCGGUAAACGUGCCCUGGUAACGGGCGCUGGUAAAGGUAUCGGUAGAGCCACUGCAAAGGCCCUGCUAGCAUGUGGUGCAGAAGUUAUUGCAGUAACCAGGACACAAUCUGAUUUGGACAGCCUUGUUCAGGAGUGUCCCAAUGUGCUGACAAUCUGUGUGGACUUGAGUAACUGGGAAGCCACAGAAAAUGCACUGAAAGAUGUAGGUCCGGUAGAUCUUUUGGUGAACAAUGCUGCGGUUGGCAUUUCGGAACCAUUCCUCGAAGUUACCCAGGAAGCAUUUGAUAAGAUGUUUAAUGUUAAUGUGAAAGCUGUGUUGCAUGUUUCACAGUUUUUUCUCCCCCAAGAUAAUUGCAAAAGGAAUGAAAUGCCGUGGGUCAGGUGGUUCCAUAGUGAACAUUUCCAGCCAGGCAUCCCAGUGUGCACUGAAAGAUCACACUGUAUACUGUGCCUCGAAAGGAGCUGUCGAUAUGCUAACAAAAGUGAUGGCACUGGAGCUGGGACCACACAAGAUAAGAGUGAAUGCCGUGAACCCCACAGUGGUGAUGACUGCAAUGGGUCGGGCUGGAUGGAGUGAUCCAGUAAAAGCAGCAGGAAUGUUGUCUCGCAUCCCAAUGGGCAAGUUUGCAGAACUUGAAGAUGUAGUGAAUGCAAUAAUCUUCCUCCUCAGUGACAAAAGUGCAAUGAUAAAUGGAGUGACUCUGCCUGUGGAUGGAGGAUUUCUAGCUUCAUAAAACAAUUCUUGGGUUAAUUAUGGGUUCAUAAAAGGAAAAUUCUGUUUAA